UACAGGGGGGGCAAGCGUUGUUCGGAAUUACUGGGCGUAAAGGGUCUGUAGGUGGCCAACUAAGUCAGACGUGAAAUCCCUCAGCUUAACUGGGGAACUGCGUCUGAUACUGGAUGGCUCGAGUGUGGGAGAGGAAUGCGGAAUUCCAGGUGUAGCGGUGAAAUGCGUAGAUAUCGGGAGGAACACCAGUGGCGAAGGCGGCGACCUGGACGGACACUGACGCUGAGACGCGAAAGCGUGGGGAGCAAACAGG
rnacentral:rRNA from 1 species